rnacentral:rRNA from 1 species
AGCGAACGUUAGCGGCGCGCUUAACACAUGCAAGUCGCACGAGAAAGGGCUUCGGCCCCGGUAAAGUGGCGCACGGGUGCGUAACACGUAGGCAAUCUUCCCUUGAGCGGGGGAUAACGUUUCGAAAGAGACGCUAAUACCGCAUAAGACCACGACCGGUUCGCCGGUUGCGGUCAAAGCUGGCCUCUUCAUGAAAGCUAGCACUCGAGGACGAGCCUGCGGCCCAUCAUGCUAGUUGGUAGGGUAACGGCCUACCAAGGCGAAGACGGGUAGCUGGUCUGAGAGGAUGAUCAGCCACACUGGAACUGAAACACGGUCCAGACUCCUACGGGAGGCAGCAGUGGGGAAUAUUGGACAAUGGGCGAAAGCCUGAUCCAGCGACGCCGCGUGAGUGAUGAAGGCCUUCGGGUUGUAAAGCUCUGUUGAGGGAGAAGAAAACAGUUAGGACGAAUAGGCCUAGCUCUUGACGGUAUCCCUUUAGAAAGCACCGGCUAACUCUGUGCCAGCAGCCGCGGUAAGACAGAGGGUGCAAACGUUGCUCGGAAUUACUGGGCGUAAAGCGCGUGUAGGCGGACCUGUAAGUUGGACGUGAAAGCCCUGGGCUCAACCCAGGAAUUGCAUCCAAAACUACAGGCCUAGAGUGAUGGAGAGGGCAGCAGAAUUCCUGGUGUAGAGGUGAAAUUCGUAGAUAUCAGGAGGAACACCGGUGGCGAAGGCGGCUGCCUGGACAUCAACUGACGCUGAGACGCGAAAGCGUGGGAGCAAACAGGAUUAGAUACCCUGG